rnacentral:rRNA from 1 species
CGUCGGAUGUCGCUAAGAGACAGCUCCGGGGGUCGAGCACUGUUUCGGCAAGGGGGUCAUCCAGACUUACCAACCCGAUGCAAACUGCGAAUACCGGAGCAUGUUAUCACGGGAGACACACGGCGGGUGCUAACGUCCGUCGUCAAGAGGGAAACAACCCAGACCGCCAGCUAAGGUCCCAAAGUCAUGGUUAAGUGGGAAACGAUGUGGGAAAGCCCAGACAGCCAGGAUGUUGGCUUAGAAGCAGCCA